rnacentral:misc_RNA from 1 species
AAGUCGUAACAAGGUUUCCGUAGGUGAACCUGCGGAAGGAUCAUUCUCGAGUCGGGACCUCCGUGUCCCUUUCUCUCAUCCCAUCCUGUGUUGUUGACCGGGUUGUGGUGGUGCUGGUGGCGCUUGUCGUCGCCCACCGCCCAGCCCAUUUUGUCAUACCAUCCCGUAUCAUCUGUGACUGAUUGUGAGUAUCUGUAAUAGUUAAAACAACUGUUGACAACGGAUCACUCGGCUCUCGU